AGUGAACGCUGGCGGUAGGCCUAACACAUGCAAGUCGAACGGCAGCACAGUAAGAGCUUGCUCUUACGGGUGGCGAGUGGCGGACGGGUGAGGAAUACAUCGGAAUCUACUUUUUCGUGGGGGAUAACGUAGGGAAACUUACGCUAAUACCGCAUACGACCUACGGGUGAAAGCAGGGGAUCUUCGGACCUUGCGCGAUUGAAUGAGCCGAUGUCGGAUUAGCUAGUUGGCGGGGUAAAGGCCCACCAAGGCGACGAUCCGUAGCUGGUCUGAGAGGAUGAUCAGCCACACUGGAACUGAGACACGGUCCAGACUCCGACGGGAGGCAGCAGGGGGGAAUAUUGGACAAUGGGCGCAAGCCUGAUCCAGCCAUACCGCGUGGGUGAAGAAGGCCUGCGGGUUGUAAAGCCCUUUUGUUGGGAAAGAAAAGCAGCAGGUUAAUACCCCGCUGUUCUGACGGGACCCAAAGAAUAAGCACCGGCGAACUUCGU
rnacentral:rRNA from 1 species